CGGUUAGUUGAUCCUAAGAGAUGGGGAAUCCUUGUAUCAAGGGUGCACUCUGCAUGAACAUCGAAAGAGAAUUGGGUUAAUAUUCCCGAACUGGGACAUGGUGGUGGAAGAUAAUGCUAGGAAAUCUGGAGAUGUCAUCGGGGGCCUGGGAAGAGUUAUCUUUUAUUUUUAACGACUUUCCCACCCUGAAAUUGGUUCAACCGGAGAUAGGGUCCAACAUCUGAAAGAGCACCACAUGUCUUGUGGUGUUUGGCACCCCCUCAGUGACCAUUGAAAAUAUGGAGAACCAAGUACCAUCCGUGCCCGAUCGUACUCAUAUCUGCCUCCUUGGAUUUUUCAAUGUCCACUAGGUUAGCAAUCU
rnacentral:ncRNA from 1 species